ensembl:lncRNA
GGAGAAGGUAGCAGCCUGCACACCACUGGCUUGGAAGGAAAGGAGCAAAAGAAGUUUCUACAUGGAGCCUAGCAUUAGCAUCAUUCAUAUCAGAACAUGUCUUUGUGGCCACCAACUGUAGGCAGUGAUCCAUGAAGGUUGUGCUGGGUUUGUGACAAUCUCCUUCUGCUCUUCUGAUUCCAGUGGCUUCAAAUGUACAGAUUUUUCAUUGUGCCUUGAGUUUUCCCAUCCUGAGAAAUCUAAUACCUGGCUGAUCAGGAAGAAGCCUAGAAACUUAUGAAAAAAGAAACAUGGUCUUUAGAAAUAAAGAAAGACUUCUGAUUAAUAGCAAGAAAGAAAAGUAGAAGCUCAUAUCUACAAAUGCCAAGAAUCUUACUACUUUUGGAAGCAGAUUACUUCUCAGAGCCUCCAAUAAGAAACUGGCUUGGCUGUCAACUUCAUCUAGACUUAGUAAGGACUACAUUCAAAUUUUAAUCUACAGAGCUGUGGAUUGAUCAACUUGUAUUGUUGUGAGCCCCUAAAUGUGUGAUUUGAUAUGUUGCCAAUAGAAAACAAAUGCACCACAUCCACAUUAUCUGUGAAAUGAUUCACACAUUAAUUCAAGAUUUUAAAAAUAUUUCCUGAAUUUAUUUAUAAUAGCUCUGCUAGGCAAUGCUGAUUGUUUGUAAUGUCCUCAGUUAAAUUACAAGUUCCCUGAAGCUAGAGUCCCAGCUUGAUUUAUUAUCAUGAUUUGUACCAUCCAUCAGGUAGCUCUUUUCUGAAAUCUGACUCUGAGUUCUCCAAUGUUACUGAAAGUCAGUUGAUU